UGCAUUCCGUGGAGCAGGCUGCAGAGUUGU
rnacentral:piRNA from 1 species